UUUUUCGCUAAUCUGGGGUGCUAAAAACAUGGCGGAUUCCUCGAUAAAGACAUUUGUGUGCCAGGAAUGUGGAAAGACAUAUAAUUCCAGAAAAAGCCUUCUGCGUGGCUUUAUUUCCAGAAAGAGAAGAAAGAAAUCAUGGACCUUAUAACUGCGGCAAUCGGUCUUUCCCGGACAACGUUUCUGUGCGGAAGGAUUAAAAACUAUUCCAGACUGGUGGCCAUGACAGAUGUGGGUUGGAAAUCAUAAAGAGUGACUGAAUACUUUGAUAUGUUGGAAAGAAGUUCAUUGUUGAUGACAGUGUUUCUUUAUGAUUUAUUGACAUUAUUCAUCUUCAGAAAUACAGAACUCUCAAUGCUGUAAAUUUGUUGUGAUAUUCGCCGCUGAAUCUAUGUCCAAAUGUGCUUGUUUUACUACACAGCAAAGGAGAAAUUGUACCGGGCCGACACCAUAGAGUGGUAGCUGGUGAAUUUUUCAUCAAAUCAGUCAAAUUAAGUUUUUCACCUUAGGUAAAAUUUCACAGUUCACAGUCGGUAACAAGCUUUCAUUUGUCCUAACCAUUUGAAUUUAAACAUACAUACAACGGGAUUUUUCUUAUAGUAAGCAGUAUAAACAUGGAAAAACUUAAAUGAAGCGGGUUAAUGAAAUACAAAAGACUUCCAUUACCAAAUCAUUGAAUCACGCCCCCGUCUUAGCAUCAAGAAAAACGGACCCCUGCUUAGCAAUUUGAUAAAUCCGGCCCAGGAAGCUAUUGAAGGCUCUUAAUUUGUAAUUUUUUGAAGUGUAUAUGUCAAGACAAUACUCGUACAAAUAUCCGUGUCGCAAAGUAGUCUUUUACGGCCUUUUAAAGGAUUCAUCAGUUGAAUUUGUGAAAAUGUCCCCCGUCUUAACAUCAUCAAAUUUGUUCACUUCAGUUGUGCGGUUGCACUUUUAGAGAAAACGAACGGUCUUAGAAACAAAAAACUUGUAGCCGAGUGUCGGAUUUUCAUAUGAGACGGCACUCAUCUAUGUUUCCUUUUAUUUGAACAGGCUGUCGAAAAGAUAUUUAAGAAAAUGUCACUUUUACCGAAGUAUCCGCCAUGUUUUUAGCACCCCAGAUUAGCGGAAAAGUCACGUGGUACAUGCACCCUGAUAGUAAUCAUUUGAGUUUCUCUUAAGCCGGCACAUUUUAUACUAUUGUAGAGUAAUCUUUAGCCGUGCUGGGGAGACUGAGAAGUGUUGCACAUUUGAUUACGUUGAAUGUACAGACUCAGCAAAACCGAGCCUACUAUUACUUUGCAUAGUUGCUUCCUGUACUUCGAUAUAGAAAUAUUUUCUCUGUAUAUUAUAAUGGCCUUUUUGAAGUAGUUUGCAAGCUUCUUUUGUUUUUAAACUAGGUUUUCUAAAACUUUGUAAACUGGUUAUUAUAUAGCGAUGUCUUUUAGAGGAAGGACGGAUGUAUGGACUAAUGGAUAGGCGUCAAGUUGUUCAUUUUUGUUAAACAGCAUUGUUUUGGAGAAUUUGAAAGAAACUUGGCUUAUAAGUAGCUUAAAGUAAGGUCAAGGUUGAGACUGCAGUUGGGGUUUGUAAACUUGAGGUUAAAGUCACUAUUCCUAGAAAUAUUUUGAAUUAAUGCACUGAAAUUAAACUUGGUAUAAUUAUAGGAAGCUUAAAGAAAGCCUAUGU
rnacentral:lncRNA from 1 species